UUAACACAUGCAAGUCGAACGAAGAGCGAUGGAAGCUUGCUUCUAUCAAUCUUAGUGGCGAACGGGUGAGUAACGCGUAAUCAACCUGCCCUUCAGAGGGGGACAACAGUUGGAAACGACUGCUAAUACCGCAUACGAUCUAAUCUCGGCAUCGAGGAUGGAUGAAAGGUGGCCUCUAUUUAUAAGCUAUCACUGAAGGAGGGGAUUGCGUCUGAUUAGCUAGUUGGAGGGGUAACGGCCCACCAAGGCGAUGAUCAGUAGCCGGUCUGAGAGGAUGAACGGCCACAUUGGGACUGAGACACGGCCCAGACUCCUACGGGAGGCAGCAGUGGGGAAUCUUCCACAAUGGACGAAAGUCUGACGGAGCAACGCCGCGUGAGU
rnacentral:rRNA from 1 species